CUAUAUUUGAGCCAGCAAGAGCUCCGUCACCUAUUGAAGCGACCCUGAGAACAUCUGAGAGCAUCGUUUUAUUCUUUUAUUUUCUCGGCUAGGUUUUCUGGAUACCCUUGAACUCCGGAUUUGGAUUGGAAUCGCUCCCUGACGAGGGGGAUGGCGAGCUACCCGUGCUGAGCACCUGGAUUGAGGAGCGCUUUCAACUUUCAUCUGCCUUGCUGUCAGUGUGGUAGGACUGUGGGGAAGGACCUCAAAAGACAAUUGGAUUUCAACAUUUUAUUUUGGGGAUUACUUUUAUUUUUUAGGGUGCACCCAGUUCAAUAUACAUUUCAAACUGAACAAAACUGAAUGCCGGCAGUAAUUGUGAAUUUAUUCUGUGUCAAUACAAUCAUUUUCCUUUAAACUUAAUUCUGUGUUCUGCUUACUCAUUGUGGUGUCCGAUUCCUGUUCAUUAUUCCUCUCUACGAAUCUAGGUUAUACUAGUCCAGUGUAUACUUAUUCAUCAGGUGGGUUACA